rnacentral:rRNA from 1 species
UACGGGGGGAGCAAGCGUUGUUCGGAUUUACUGGGCGUAAAGGGCGCGUAGGCGGCGUAACAAGUCACUUGUGAAAUCUCCGGGCUUAACCCGGAGCGGCCAAGUGAUACUGUUGUGCUAGAGUGCGGAAGGGGCUACUGGAAUUCUCGGUGUAGCGGUGAAAUGCGUAGAUAUCGGAAGGAACAUCAGUGGCGAAAGCGACUUCCUGGACCAAUACUGACGCUCAUGUGCGAAAGCGUGGGGAGCAAACAGG